UAGCAGGUAACAUUAUGUGAGUGGUU
rnacentral:piRNA from 1 species